ACACUUAGACUUUUUUUGAAAUCUAAAUAGUGCUAGAUAAAGCGCUAAUUAUAUACAGCAAAGAACUACCAGUUAUUUGUUGGUUCUUUAGCAAUCGCAAACAUCAAAUAGGAAACUAGAUCAAUUGGUGCUGUAACCUCAUAAGACUGACGUUCGAGAUUAUGUAAGUUUUGUGAUUUCAACAAGCCGUUGACACCAUUACUAUCACCACCAACAGCGGUAAUCUUUUGAAUGGAGUGCGGUACAAAUAAUAGCUUGU
rnacentral:sRNA from 1 species